rnacentral:rRNA from 1 species
CGUAGGGUGCGAGCGUUAAUCGGAAUUACUGGGCGUAAAGCGUGCGCAGGCGGUUUGUUAAGAUAGGCGUGAAAUCCCCGGGCUCAACCUGGGAACUGCGCUUAUGACUGGCAAGCUAGAGUACGGCAGAGGGGGGUGGAAUUCCACGUGUAGCAGUGAAAUGCGUAGAGAUGUGGAGGAACACCAAUGGCGAAGGCAGCCCCCUGGGUCGAUACUGACGCUCAUGCACGAAAGCGUGGGUAGCAAACAGGAUUAGAUACCCUGGUAGUCCACGCCCUAAACGAUGUCAACUAGGUGUUGGACGGGUAAAACCAUUUAGUACCGGAGCUAACGCGUGAAGUUGACCGUCUGGGGAGUACGGCCGCAAGGUUA